UACGAAGGGGGGCUAGCGUUGUUCGGAAUCACUGGGCGUAAAGGGCGCGUAGGCGGCCCGGUAAGGUUGCGGUGAAAGCCCGGGGCUCAACCCCGGGUCGGCCGUGGCAACUGCUGGGCUGGAGCACAGUAGAGGCGGGUGGAAUUCCGGGUGUAGCGGUGGAAUGCGUAGAGAUCCGGAAGAACACCGGUGGCGAAGGCGGGUCUCUGGGCAGUAACUGACGCUGAGGAGCGAAAGCGUGGGGAGCGAACAGG
rnacentral:rRNA from 1 species